GACGGAGGAUGCAAGCGUUAUCCGGAAUGAUUGGGCGUAAAGCGUCCGUAGGUGGUUAAUCGUGUCUGCUGUCAAAGGGCGAGGCUUAACUUCGUAAAGGCAGUGGAAACUGGUUGACUGGAGUAAGGUAGGGGUAGCGGGAAUUCCUGGUGUAGCGGUGAAAUGCGUAGAUAUCAGGAAGAACACCGGAGGCGAAAGCGCGCUACUGGGCUUUAACUGACACUGAGGGACGAAAGCUAGGGGAGCGAAAAGGG
rnacentral:rRNA from 1 species